rnacentral:lncRNA from 1 species
CUAGUGGCCCUAAUCGACUAUUAGAUUUUGAUGAUAACAAAUAAUCACGAUUAUUGAACUAAUCAUUUAUCUUGAGUUUUGUGUUUUAGAUCUCUCUAUCUUCAAAAAGAAUUCAAGAUGGGCAAUAUUUUAGCACCAAGCUUCACCACUUGAAGCUGUGUUUGCUUCCUUUGUCAAAAAGACAAACUCACUCCAUUCUUAAUUUGAUUAAUAUUUUUACUUAUGAUUAGAGUGAGAAAUUUGAGCAAAGUUCAAACUAUUCUUUUAUCACCUUAUAGAUCACUUGAAUAUAUUCCUAACUUGUGAUUAGGUGAAUAGAAUUUUUAAAUAUUCUAAAACUGCUCAAAUUCUGUGUUCUGUGAAAUUAAAAUUUCUGGACUCUAUUCUGGGCGCCCGAAAGUGGAUCCGAAUCUUUUGAGACCUUUUGGAUCCUGCCUGUUUGCUGUUCGGGUGAUCCAGAAACACAAAGACUGUUUGACUUGACAGGUUGCGACAACAGGCGGCGCAAAAUCUGGGCGCCCAGAUUUUGUGGAAGCAGCGGCGCACGCAAUCUGGGCUGUCUGGCAAGAAAGUCAGCACGACUUUCUGAGCGCCCAC